rnacentral:rRNA from 1 species
UACGGAGGGUGCAAGCGUUGCUCGGAAUUAUUGGGCGUAAAGGGUAGGUAGGUGGUCUCAUUUGUCUGGGGUGAAAUCCUUGAGCUUAACUCAAGAAGUGCCUCAGAAACGGUGAGACUAGAGUUCUGGAGAGGGUCGUGGAAUUCCCGGUGUAGCGGUGAAAUGCGUAGAUAUCAGGAGGAACACCGGUGGUGUAGACGGCUUUCUGGACCGUAACUGACGCUGAGACACGAAAGCGUGGGUAGCAAACAGG